UACGGGGGGGGGCAAGCGUUGUUCGGAAUUACUGGGCGUAACGGGCUCGUAGGCGGCCAACUAAGUCAGACGUGAAAUCCCUCGGCUUAACCGGGGAACUGCGUCUGAUACUGGAUGGCUUGAGUUUGGGAGAGGGAUGCGGAAUUCCAGGUGUAGCGGUGAAAUGCGUAGAUAUCUGGAGGAACACCGGUGGCGAAGGCGGCAUCCUGGACCAACACUGACGCUGAGUGAGCGAAAGCCAGGGGAGCAAACGGG
rnacentral:rRNA from 1 species